UACGUAGGGGGCAAGCGUUGUCCGGAUUCAUUGGGCGUAAAGAGCGUGUAGGCGGCCAGGUAGGUCGGUUGUGAAAACUGGAGGCUCAACCUUCAGAGGUCGACCGAAACCAUCUGGCUAGAGUCCGGGAGAGGAGAGUGGAAUUCCUGGUGUAGCGGUGAAAUGCGCAGAUAUCAAGAAGAACACCCGUGGCGAAAGCGGCUCUCUGGAACGGUACUGACGCUGAGACGCGAAAGCGUGGGGAGCGAACAGG
rnacentral:rRNA from 1 species